GAUGGACGCUGGCGGCGUGCCUAAUACAUGCAAGUCGAGCGAACGGACGAGAAGCUUGCUUCUCUGAUGUUAGCGGCGGACGGGUGAGUAACACGUGGAUAACCUACCUAUAAGACUGGGAUAACUUCGGGAAACCGGAGCUAAUACCGGAUGAUAUUUUGAACCGCAUGGUUCAAAAGUGAAAGACGGUCUUGCUGUCACUUAUAGAUGGAUCCGCGCUGCAUUAGCUAGUUGGUAAGGUAACGGCUUACCAAGGCAACGAUGCAUAGCCGACCUGAGAGGGUGAUAGGCCACACUGGAACUGAGACGCGGUCCAGGCUCCUACGGGAGGCAGCAGUAGGGAAUCUUCCGCAAUGGGCGAAAGCCUGACGGAGCAACGCCGCGUGAGUGAUGAAGGUCUUCGGAUCGUAAAACUCUGUUAUUAGGGAAGAACAUAUGUGUAAGUAACUGUGCACAUCCUGACGGUACCUAAUCAGAAAGCAACGGCUAACUACGUG
rnacentral:rRNA from 1 species